rnacentral:rRNA from 1 species
AGGGAAACCGAGUCUUAACUGGGCGUUAAGUUGCAGGGUAUAGACCCGAAACCCGGUGAUCUAGCUAUGGGCAGGUUGAAGGUUGGGUAACACUAACUGGAGGACCGAACCGACUAAUGUUGAAAAAUUAGCGGAUGACUUGUGGCUGGGGGUGAAAGGCCAAUCAAACCGGGAGAUAGCUGGUUCUCCCCGAAAGCUAUUUAGGUAGCGCCUCGUGAACUCAUCUUCGGGGGUAGAGCACUGUUUCGGCUAGGGGGUCAUCCCGACUUACCAACCCGAUGCAAACUGCGAAUACCGAAGAAUGUUAUCACGGGAGACACACGGCGGGUGCUAACGUCCGUCGUGAAGAGGGAAACAACCCAGACCGCCAGCUAAGGUCCCAAAGUCACAGUUAAGUGGGAAACGAUGUGGGAAGGCUCAGACAGCCAGGAUGUUGGCUUAGAAGCAGCCAUCAUUUAAAGAAAGCGUAAUAGCUCACUGGUCGAGUCGGCCUGCGCGGAAGAUGUAACGGGGCUAAACUGUGCACCGAAGCUGCGGCAGCGACGCUUAUGCGUUGUUGGGUAGGGGAGCGUUCUGUAAGCCUGCGAAGGUGUCCUGUGAGGGAUGCUGGAGGUAUCAGAAGUGCGAAUGCUGACAUAAGUAACGAUAAUGCGGGUGAAAAGCCCGCUCGCCGGAAGACCAAGGGUUCCUGUCCAACGUUAAUCGGGGCAGGGUGAGUCGACCCCUAAGGCGAGGCCGAAAGGCGUAGUCGAUGGGAAACGGGUUAAUAUUCCCGUACUUGGUGUUACUGCGAAGGGGGGACGGAGAAGGCUAUGUUGGCCGGGCGACGGUUGUCCCGGUUUAAGCGUGUAGGCUGGUUUUCCAGGCAAAUCCGGAAAAUCAAG